rnacentral:rRNA from 1 species
GACAGAGGGUGCAAACGUUGUUCGGAAUUACUGGGCGUAAAGCGCGUGUAGGCGGCUAUGUAAGUCGGGCGUGAAAUCCCACGGCUCAACCGUGGAAGUGCACCCGAAACUGCGUAGCUAGAGUCCCGGAGAGGAAGGUGGAAUGCUUGGUGUAGAGGUGAAAUUCGUAGAUAUCAAGCGGAACACCGGUGGCGAAGGCGGCCUUCUGGACAGUGACUGACGCUGAGACGCGAAAGCGUGGGGAGCAAACAGG